UGGAGUGAGGAAGUGGUGUCCAUUUCACCUGAUUCACAGGGAUUGAAAGCUGGCAAAGUAAUCGCAGAAAGAAAAUCAGUGGGGGCUGCAACCAAAAUAAGGAGGAAGGCAUCCCGGAGACGCCACUAUCAUGAGCGCGUGAGACUUAAAAGUGGUCUUUUGCAAACUUUGAAGAGUUGUGAAGAAAGGAAAAAAUUUCCAAAGGAUCUCGUUUAUUGUCGCCCUUCUCCAAAAAGCCAGCUGGUUCAGACUGAAUUACGUCCUCCAAGAUCUUAUGCAUGAAGCCCUAACCCCUGGUGCCUCGGAAUGUGACUGUGUUUGCAGAUGGGCCUUUAAAGUGAUAAUUAAACUAAAAUGAGGCUGUGAAGAUGGGCCCUGAUCCAAUCUUAAUGGCAUUCUUAUAAGAAGAGGAGAUUAGGACAUGAAGAGGCCAUGGAGCUGGGACCUUGUAAGGACACAGAGAGAAGGAGGCCAUCUUCGAGCUAAAGAGUGA